GACCGUGUGGCCCAAUGGAUAAGACGCUAGCCUACGGAGCUAGAGAUUCUGGGUUCGAUCCUCAGCAUGGUCGA
rnacentral:tRNA from 1 species